rnacentral:tRNA from 1 species
GGUUCCAUAGUUUAGCAGUUAGCACGUCUGCUUUACACACAGAAGGUCCUGAGUUCACGCACCAGUGGAGCCA